UACGGGGGGUGCGAGCGUUGUCCGGAAUCACUGGGCGUAAAGGGCGCGUAGGUGGUUUGAUAAGGGUGUGGUGAAAGCCCGGGGCUCAACCCCGGGUCUGCCGUGCCGACUGUCAAACUCGAGGGCUGUAGAGGCAGACGGAAUUCCGGGUGUAGCGGUGGAAUGCGUAGAGAUCCGGAGGAAGACCGGUGGCGAAGGCGGUCUGCUGGGCAGUUCUGACACUGAUGCGCGACAGCGUGGGGAGCA
rnacentral:rRNA from 1 species